rnacentral:rRNA from 1 species
UACGUAGGGGGCUAGCGUUGUCCGGAAUCAUUGGGCGUAAAGCGCGCGUAGGCGGCCCGGUAAGUCCGUUGUUGAAAGUCAAAGGCUCAACCUUUGAAAGCCCGAUGGAUACUGCCGGGCUGGAGUCCGGAAGAGGCGAGUGGGAAUUCCUGGUGUAGCGGUGGAAAUGCGCAGGAUAUCAGGAGGAACACCGGUGGCGAAGGCGGGACCUGGGCCAGUACGUGACG